GGUUCAGUGGUCUAGUGGUUAUGAUUUGUGUCUCACAUGACGUGAUCACACAAGGUCCCCGGUUCGAUCCCGGGCUGAACCA